CCUACGGGAGGCAGCAGUGAGGAAUAUUGGUCAAUGGGCGUAAGCCUGAACCAGCCAAGUCGCGUGAGGGAUGAAGGUUCUAUGGAUCGUAAACCUCUUUUAUAAGGGAAUAAAGUGUGGGACGUGUCCUGGCCCGGAGAGUACCCGGAGAAAAAGCAUCGGCUAACUCCGUGCCAGCAGCCGCGGUAAUACGGAGGAUGCGAGCGUUAUCCGGAUUUAUUGGGUUUAAAGGGUGCGUAGGCGGGCUUUUAAGUCAGCGGUAAAAAUUCGGGGCUCAACCCCGUCCGGCCGUUGAAACUGGGGGCCUUGAGUGGGCGAGAAGAAGGCGGAAUGCGUGGUGUAGCGGUGAAAUGCAUAGAUAUCACGCAGAACCCCGAUUGCGAAGGCAGCCUUCCGGCGCCCUACUGACGCUGAGGCACGAAAGUGCGGGGAUCGAACAGGAUUAGAUACCCUUGUAGUC
rnacentral:rRNA from 1 species